rnacentral:rRNA from 1 species
GUUAGGAAUAUUGGACAAUGGGCGCAAGCCUGAUCCAGCCAUGCCGCGUGAACGAUGAAGGCCUUCGGGUUGUAAAGUUCUUUAGCCGAUGAUUAUAAUGACUGUAGUCGGAAAAUAAGCCCCGGCUAACUUCGUGCCAGCAGCCGCGGUAAUACGAAGGGGGCGAGCGUUAUUCGGAAUCACUGGGCGUAAAGCGUGCGUAGGCGGUCUCGUAAGUUAGGAGUGAAAGCCCAGGGCUCAACCUUGGAAUUGCUCUUAAUACUGCAAGGCUAGAAUCUCGGAGAGGAUAGCGGAAUUUCCAGUGUAGCAGUGAAAUGCGUAGAUAUUGGAAGGAACACCAGUGGCGUAAGCGGCUAUCUGGACGAGUAUUGACGCUGAGGCACGAAAGCGUGGGGAUCAAACAGGAUUAGAAACCCGUGUAGUCC